UACGUAGGAGGCGAGCGUUGUCCGGAAUCACUGGGUGUAAAGCGCGUGUAGGCGGCCUGUCAAGUCUGCUGUGAAAGCGCCUGGCUUAACCGGGCGAGGUCGGUGGAAACUGGCGGGCUGGAGGACGGUAGAGGGGGGUGGAAUUCCCGGUGUAGUGGUGAAAUUCGUAGAUAUUGGGAAGAACACCGGUGGCGAAGGCGGCGCUCUGGACCGAGACUGACGCUGAGGCGCGAAAGCGUGGGGAGCAAACAGG
rnacentral:rRNA from 1 species